rnacentral:lncRNA from 1 species
AGAAGAGCAUAAGAAUGAAACAGGUAGCUUCCUCUCCCAAGAAUUGACUAUGCGUCCUACUGUACUAACAUAAUAAUUUUCAUUCUCUUUUGACAUGUACUGUAUAUUUCUAUCAUAAUUGUUCGUUCCAAAUUUUCAGAAGAGAAGCUAGUUGUGGACAUUGCGGACAAUGAUUAUAUAGAUGCAAUUGAAGAAACAAAAUCCAUUUCCACCGGUACCCUUGUGACUGAGAGUGAUUCUGAGAGUGACGAUUCCGAGAGUGACGCACCUCAACGAGCGCCAAGCAACAGAACCCGAGGAGGCAAUAGAACCCGAGGAGGAGGAGGGCGAGGGGGCAACAGAACCCGGGGAGGAGGAGGACGACGAGGGGGUAACAAAAUCCGAGGAGGAAGAAGAGGGGGUAGGGGACGCACUAGUGGUUAGCAUCUUUAUCGGCAUUGCCAAAAUAUUAGUGCAAUUGGAAUGAUGUUGUAAUUGCCUUAGGUCUGGAACUCCAAACUUCUAACUUUAGUCCUUUCUUAGCCGUUCUUACCGUAGUUCGGGCUUCAACCGUAGCGGCCUCUAUGUUGUGUGAUCUCGAUACCAUGUUUGGUUUUGAGCUCCAGUAAUUUAGAGCUUGCAUACAUUUAAUUCAUUGCCUUCUGUCUAUUUCUUGCUGUUUGAGUAUCUAGGACUUCUGGACGGGCUAAUCACGUGGUAUCAUGCUUCUAAAUGAGAAUGAUCUUUGAAAUCCAUUAAACCAUUUAAAUCAGAUUGUUUGAUUCACGUCAAACAUGUGUUAGGUCAUUUCUAGCAGGAUCUUGAGUGGUGGAGGCAUGUUCGUUUGCUCGAUUAACUGAAAUGUGAUUAAUUUCCUCUCGAUUUACUGUGAUUAUUUCCCCCUUCUCACAUUAGUUUGCUGUUGUUCAUUAUUUGACAUGGGAUAUAACACCACUAGUUCUCUGUUGCUAGCAUAUUUCCGCUGUGCAAAAUAUUAUAGUUUGAUCUAUUUACUGGUUUUAGCAGCUCUGGAUGCACUUAAUUCUCUGAACGUUGCUAUUGCUUAUCGCAGCUUGCCUGAAUAAAAUAGAGCAUCAAUUCUCUUGGCCUGUUUGCUUCCUUGCUAGUGUUAUUUACAUAAUGAGUAAAGAUAUUUGAGACUGCAAACUUAAAUGAAGUGUUGUCAACAGAUGACCAUGGACAAUUGGACAUCUCCCAGUUUUAUCUACCAACUUGAAAGGCUCUAGUGAAAUAGUCUGACUGUUUCUUGGAAUAACUACACGUGCAGAAAAAUUCAAGUUGAAAAAUGAUUUGACAUAUUUGAUGUGCUUUUUCACUUUAUUUGAAAAAUUCAUUUGGCCUUCGAAAUUUGCAUUCCGUCAAAGAGCUUAGAGGGGAUUUCUGAUGUGUUAGCAUAUUCUUACCUGAAGCCACCAUUGACAGUUGUCCAUUGGAUCCUCUGACUAGUAAAAUUUGCGCAUUAAUUCUCGGCUCACUGUUUAUGCAGAAUUUUUUGUAAGUGAAAAUUGAGGCUUUUACAUCAGCACAGUAUAUUCCACAUCGAGGGUGGUUUGGGUAUUUCUUAGAAAUUUGGUCUGACAAUGAUUGAUGGAUACUUUUCCCUUGUUGCAAUGAUAGAUUGAUAACUGGCAACCUUUGCUAUGGUAGAUUGAUAUAUUUUUCCUUCUUUGAACUGGUAAAUUUGCUGCUCGCUACCAACCUCUUGCUCUUUGUGGCCAAACAAUACUCUCAUCAAGUAGAAGGGUGCAACCUCUAUGGGGCAUGCUCCUUGUCGGCUCACUUUGUGCUUGAGAGUUGGCCUCCUUGCGAGUGGCCUUGAUUUCUCCUAAGCUCUCCAGGAGGAGUGAGCGAAGUCAUCAUCAGGUUUGGAGGUGGUACAAUGAAGUGGAGUCCCAAAGUUGGAUUGAACCAAGGGCUUCCAGGCAUGGCGAGCGGGGGAGGGGGCUUUGGUGCCAUGUUCGGGGAGUAAGCAAUGUCAAAGGUUUGGGCUCGACGGGUCCGGACUCCCUUGAAGCCAUGUGAUUCAUCCAAAGUUGGUUGAAUGGCCGGGUGUCCCCUCAUAGGAGACAUUUGAAGCUUGUAUUUGUGCGGCGGUACUUCAGUGCCAACCGGUAUGGCUUGGGGAGGCUUCACCAAUGCUCAUAUGUAUCCAAUGUUACUUGGACGAUGAUUCGCCUUUUAUCUCUGAUACUCUGGUGGCGACACUUUUAUUUUGUGAGCGAUGAUUCGCCUUCAGCCUAAACUUGCUUGUGUGGGGCUAUGUAGCUUCGGCGAUCGCGCCUUCACACAAUGGUUGGCCAAGGCAUCAUUGUUGUUGUUGUGGAAACAACUGGAGAUUAGGGCUCGAGGCAGUAUCAUUGGUAGCAUGAUCGCAACAAAGACUAAUUGGGCGUAUGUAUAACGGCCUUAGCCAACUAAACAAACAACCUUAGAGCGAAGUUUGUCAUACACUAGCAAAUUCGACACUCUUAGAACAUAGAUUCAGACUUCUCGAUAGAGUACUACCUAGUAGACUAGUAGGGUAAGUUGUACAAGACUCCUCAGCACCCUCUCCAAACUUCUCCUAUGCUCAUGGAGGGUUUAUAUAGCCUAUCGAUCCUUGACAAAUGACAAAAAAAAAAACUACCAUUAAGGCGAUAGAUGCAGGAUAAAAUCUUUGGUCCAUAGGUCCACAGUGAACUACUAGAGGGGAAGAGUUCAUAGA